GGGGAUUUAGUUCAGUGGUAGAGCGCUUGCCUAGGAAGCGCAAGGCCCUGGGUUCAAUCCCCAGCUCCG
rfam:Rattus norvegicus chromosome 3, whole genome shotgun sequence.